UACAGAGGGGGCAAGCGUUGUUCGGAAUUACUGGGCGUAAAGGGCGCGUAGGCGGCCUGUUAAGUCGAACGUGAAAUCCCCGGGCUCAACCCGGGAACUGCGUCCGAUACUGGCAGGCUUGAAUUCGGGAGAGGGAUGCGGAAUUCCAGGUGUAGCGGUGAAAUGCGUAGAGAUCGGGAGGAACAUCAGUGGCGAAGGCGGCCAUCUGGGACAACACUGACGCUGAAGCACGAAAGCGUGGGGAGCAAACAGG
rnacentral:rRNA from 1 species